UCCCUGGUGGCUCAGUGAUAAAGAAUCUGCCUUCAAUGUAGGAGACCCAGGUUCGAUUCCUGAGUCAGGAA
rnacentral:tRNA from 1 species